rnacentral:rRNA from 2 species
CGAGCGGACAGAUGGGAGCUUGCUCCCUGAUGUUAGCGGCGGACGGGUGAGUAACACGUGGGUAACCUGCCUGUAAGACUGGGAUAACUCCGGGAAACCGGGGCUAAUACCGGAUGGUUGUUUGAACCGCAUGGUUCAAACAUAAAAGGUGGCUUCGGCUACCACUUACAGAUGGACCCGCGGCGCAUUAGCUAGUUGGUGAGGUAACGGCUCACCAAGGCAACGAUGCGUAGCCGACCUGAGAGGGUGAUCGGCCACACUGGGACUGAGACACGGCCCAGACUCCUACGGGAGGCAGCAGUAGGGAAUCUUCCGCAAUGGACGAAAGUCUGACGGAGCAACGCCGCGUGAGUGAUGAAGGUUUUCGGAUCGUAAAGCUCUGUUGUUAGGGAAGAACAAGUACCGUUCGAAUAGGGCGGUACCUUGACGGUACCUAACCAGAAAGCCACGGCUAACUACGUGCCAGCAGCCGCGGUAAUACGUAGGUGGCAAGCGUUGUCCGGAAUUAUUGGGCGUAAAGGGCUCGCAGGCGGUUUCUUAAGUCUGAUGUGAAAGCCCCCGGCUCAACCGGGGAGGGUCAUUGGAAACUGGGGAACUUGAGUGCAGAAGAGGAGAGUGGAAUUCCACGUGUAGCGGUGAAAUGCGUAGAGAUGUGGAGGAACACCAGUGGCGAAGGCGACUCUCUGGUCUGUAACUGACGCUGAGGAGCGAAAGCGUGGGGAGCGAACAGGAUUAGAUACCCUGGUAGUCCACGCCGUAAACGAUGAGUGCUAAGUGUUAGGGGGUUUCCGCCCCUUAGUGCUGCAGCUAACGCAUUAAGCACUCCGCCUGGGGAAGUACGGUCG